AUGGCCGAACCAAAAGGGAAAAAAAGUAGAGUUUACCUUACAUGGACUCCUGAGAUGGACACGGCAUUGUUGGCUGUCCUUGUUGAGCAUCACAACAAUGGUGACCGUGCUCAAAAUGGUUGGAAGCCACAUGUGUAUAAUGCUUGCAUUAAGCAUGUCAAGGAUACAUGUGAUGUUGACAUUAUGAAGGAAAACAUAACAGGAAGAAUCAAAACAUUUGACAAGCAGUAUGAGAUCAUUACCAAGAUGCUUGCACAGAGUGGCUUUGGAUGGGAUUGGGUAAAGAACAUGGUGUCGGUUGAUAGUGAAGAAGUGUGGUCUCGAUAUGUGGAGAAUUGGGAGUCUAUCAAUAUCAUAUAUUCAAAAGAUCAUGCGACCGGUGCAGGUGCUAGGAUAGGAGCUGAAUGUGUUCAAGAACCACAAGACACACCUGUUGUUGAAGAAGCUCCUGAGGUGCCUCAGAAGAGGCAACGCACUGGGGAUGCUAUCUUGUGCAUGAUGGGAAAGAUGAAGAUGUCUUUUGAUGAUGCGUUGAAGACAACCGAGCCACUUCCUAUGCCUAAGGUGACUCCUCCAACAGAAAUCCUUGCUGCACUAAAGAAGGUACCAGAUUUGGAAGAUAGUGAUAUGCUGAGAGCUUAUGGAAAAUUGAUUGUCAAUGAGCGUUUGUUUGAAGCACUCAUGGCGCUACCCGAGGAGUUAAGGAAGCCAUGGCUCUUGACCUUCGAUUAA
rnacentral:rRNA from 1 species